rnacentral:rRNA from 1 species
UACAGAGGUCUCAAGCGUUGUUCGGAUUCAUUGGGCGUAAAGGGCGCGUAGGUGGCGGGGUAAGUCAGGUGUGAAAUCUCGAGGCUCAACCUCGAAACUGCACUUGAUACUGCCUUGCUUGAGUACUGGAGAGGAGAUUGGAAUUUACGGUGUAGCAGUGAAAUGCGUAGAUAUCGUAAGGAAGACCAGUGGCGAAGGCGAAUCUCUGGACAGUUACUGACACUGAGGCACGAAGGCCAGGGGAGCAAACGGG